rnacentral:rRNA from 1 species
GACGAACGCUGGCGGCGUGCUUAACACAUGCGAGUCGAACGGAAAGGCCCAGCUUUUGUGGGGUGCUCGAGUGGCGAACGGGUGAGUAACACGUGAGUAACCUGCCCUUGACUUUGGGAUAACUUCAGGAAACUGGGGCUAAUACCGGAUAGGAGCUCCUGCUGCAUGGUGGGGGUUGGAAAGUUUCGGCGGUUGGGGAUGGACUCGCGGCUUAUCAGCUUGUUGGUGGGGUAGUGGCUUACCAAGGCUUUGACGGGUAGCCGGCCUGAGAGGGUGACCGGCCAAAUUGGUACGAGGGUGCGCCCCAGCCGCCAACGGGAGACGACAGGGGGAAAUAUUGCACAGGGGGAGCGCGUCGGAAGCAGCAGCCCCCGGUGCGGAAUGGUGGCCUGCGGUUUUGAAACCGCUUUCGCCGGUAAAAAAGCGUGAGGGACGAUAAUGGAUAAAGACACCCCGCCAAACUACGUG